rnacentral:miRNA from 1 species
GCAGACACAUUCCAGCCAAUCAGCAGCAGACCCUCCCUCCCAGACCCUUCCACCUCCUGGACAGCAUCCAUUUUACAUUCAUUGUGAAGCUGCAUUCUUAGUGAGCUGUCCAGGAGGUGGGAGGGUGGGAGGGAGGGUCUGCUGCUGAUUGGCUGGAAUGUGUCUG